CCUACGGGAGGCAGCAGUGAGGAAUAUUGGUCAAUGGGCGAGAGCCUGAACCAGCCAAGUCGCGUGAGGGAGUACUGCCCUAUGGGUUGUAAACCUCUUUUGUCGGGGAGCAAAAGCCGGACGUGUCCGGCUGUGAGAGUACCCGAAGAAAAAGCAUCGGCUAACCCCGUGCCAGCAGCCGCGGUAAUACGGAGGAUGCGAGCGUUAUCCGGAUUUAUUGGGUUUAAAGGGUGCGCAGGCGGAUUUUUAAGUCAGCGGUAAAAUCGUGGGGCUCAACCCCAUCCAGCCGUUGAAACUGGGGAUCUAGAGUGUGCGAGAGGUAUGCGGAAUGCGUGGUGUAGCGGUGAAAUGCAUAGAUAUCACGCAGAACCCCGAUUGCGAAGGCAGCAUACCGGUGCACAACUGACGCUCAGGCACGAAAGCGUGGGUAUCGAACAGGAUUAGAUACCCGUGUAGUC
rnacentral:rRNA from 1 species